rnacentral:lncRNA from 1 species
AAUAAGUGGACAUCCUUUCCUCAUCAGCAUCAUAGACUAGAAACUUGAAGUCCUACUACUUAAUCAAGUACUUACACUAAGACUGUCAAGCUUUACAUUGUUAAUUCAUCACCAGUAAUCAACAAAACACAAUAUUUUUCAAGAGAUUCUCUUUUAAAGUACCUAAUCAAAGCUUUACCUAACAUUAGAAAAAUGCAAGAAUUGGUCAAAAAAUUAUAAUUACAGUAACCAUCCAAACAAGAACAAUCAACUAUACAAAAAAUUUUCCAGGACAAGAAUUGGCUAGAGAUAACUAUAGUCGG